GGUCAGUUUCCUGUCACCCUUUAAUGCCACCCCUAGUCACCAUCAGGACUGUUCCCUUAUCUGCCACCAUCUAAAGAUUUUCAUCCCAAGUGGCCGUGGUCAUCUUAUUAACCCAGUGGAAUGCCACUUGUCAAGCACCCGCAAUCCUGUGAUCUCAGCACCUGUCACACCCCGUCUCUUCAUCUCACUCCGGGGCCCACAGGUGCACACUCUGACCUCUCCCUGUGUCCCCUCCCAUCAGUCUUAUCAUGAUUUCCAGUCUUCUCCCUUCACCUCCCGGUCACCUCUUCCCAGCCUCUUUGCCCAUAAAUAUCCAUCCAACCUUACAGAUAGAGCUUCCUGAAAUGUGCUGACCAAUUAAUUCCACUUCCUUGGGGUGUCUACUCGGUGUCAGGCACAGUGGCUGGCGGAGGCACAGAUGUGAACAGGACCUGGUGUUCUCUGCUCUCCAGGGACUCACAGUCGGGGUGGGAGACAGCUGGGGGUGCCGGGCAAGCACUGUGGGCAUUUUAACUCUGGGCCGACGGAGAUAAGAUCCUCAAGAAAGAUCCGAACGAAG
rnacentral:lncRNA from 1 species